AUUUGAACCGCACCGCACUUGUCC
rnacentral:siRNA from 1 species